rnacentral:rRNA from 1 species
UACGUAGGGGGCAAGCGUUGUCCGGAUUUAUUGGGCGUAAAGCGCUCGCAGGCGGCUCGAUGCGUCGUGCGUGAAACACCCCGGCUCAACUGGGGAGGGUCGUGCGAUACGGUCGGGCUGGAGGCCAGUAGGGGGAUGCGGAAUUCCGGGUGUAGUGGUGGAAUGCGUAGAGAUCCGGAGGAACACCAGCGGCGAAAGCGGCUCACUGGACCACAACUGACGCUGAGGCGCGAAAGCUAGGGGAGCAAACAGG